rnacentral:misc_RNA from 1 species
GAUGAAGAACGUAGCGAAAUGCGAUAAGUAGUGUGAAUUGCAGAAUUCCGUGAAUCAUCGAAUCUUUGAACGCACAUUGCGCCUUCUGGUAUUCCGGAAGGCAUGCCUGUUCGAGAGUCAUUAACAACCGUUUCGAUCCCUUUCUUUCAGAAAUUACAAAGAGGAAAAGGGUUUGGUUAUGGUGGAGGAGGGAAAGGGAGCGUUUAGCCUGUAAAAAAAGAGGCUGUGUUCCGCCUCCCCCCCAAAAUUGUACAGGCGGUCGUGUGCGCCCACGCAUCGAGGUGUUGUAAAAGCUGCCACGGCACUUUUCACCUGUGCAGUGCGAGAUUGGCCAGCCGGUUUAAAAACCCCUCCAAACAAUCAAAGGUUGACCUCGGAUCAGGUAGGGAUACCCGCUGAACUUAAGCAUAUCAAUAAGCGAGA